AUUUUAUCAUGUAACUAUUACAAAAAAUAUGAUGAACUUGGGGGCCAUAUGAUAAAAAUAGGUUGUUACGUGGUACAUCUGUUGACUUUGUUUAGUCCAGAUUUCCAUUGUUUAAAAAACUUAUUAUUAUAUGCUUAUUCCCAAAUUCUGAUUUUGUACAUA